UACGAAGGGGGGCUAGCGUUGCUCGGAAUCACUGGGGCGUAAAGGGUGCGUAGGCGGGUCUUUAAGUCAGGGGUGAAAUCCUGGAGCUCAACUCCAGAACUGCCUUUGAUACUGAAGAUCUUGAGUUCGGGAGAGGUGAGUGGAACUGCGAGUGUAGAGGUGAAAUUCGUAGAUAUUCGCAAGAACACCAGUGGCCGAAGGCGGCUCACUGGCCCGAUACUGACGCUGAGGCACGAAAGCGUGGGGGAGCAAACAGG
rnacentral:rRNA from 1 species